UACGUAGGUGGCAAGCGUUGUCCGGAUUUACUGGGCGUAAGGCGCGCGCAGGCGGUCUUCCAAGUCAGUGGUGAAAGCCCGGAGCUCAACUCCGGAACUGCCAUUGAAACUGUGAGACUGGAGUACGAGAGAGGUGAGUGGAAUUCCCAGUGUAGAGGUGAAAUUCGUAGAUAUUGGGAAGAACACCGGUGGCGAAGGCGGCUCACUGGCUCGUAACUGACGCUCAGGCGCGACAGCGUGGGGAUCAAACAGG
rnacentral:rRNA from 1 species